rnacentral:rRNA from 1 species
AUUGAACGCUGGCGGCAUGCUUUACACAUGCAAGUCGAACGGUAACAGGCCUUCGGGUGCUGACGAGUGGCGAACGGGUGAGUAAUGCAUCGGAACGUGCCCAGAGGUGGGGGAUAACGCAGCGAAAGCUGUGCUAAUACCGCAUGUGAUCUGAGGAUGAAAGCGGGGGACCAGGCAGCAAUGUUUGGCCUCGCGCCUUUGGAGCGGCCGAUGUCAGAUUAGGUAGUUGGUGGGGUAAAGGCCUACCAAGCCGACGAUCUGUAGCUGGUCUGAGAGGACGACCAGCCACACUGGGACUGAGACACGGCCCAGACUCCUACGGGAGGCAGCAGUGGGGAAUUUUAGACAAUGGGCGCAAGCCUGAUCCAGCAAUGCCGCGUGCGGGAAGAAGGCCUUCGGGUUGUAAACCGCUUUUGUACGGAACGAAAAGGCUCUGGCUAAUACCUGGGGCUGAUGACGGUACCGGAAGAAUAAGCACCGGCUAACUACGUG